rnacentral:rRNA from 1 species
UACGGGGGGGGCAAGCGUUGUUCGGAAUUACUGGGCGUAAAGCGCGCGUAGGCGGCUUUUCAAGUCGAUUGUGAAAUCCCCAGGCUUAACCUGGGAACUGCAUCCGAUACUGGAUGGCUUGAAUCCAGGAGAGGGAUGCAGAAUUCCAGGUGUAGCGGUGAAAUGCGCAGAUAUCAGGAGGAACACCGGUGGCGAAGGCGGGUCUCUGGGCCGAUACUGACGCUGAGGAGCGAAAGCGUGGGGAGCGAACAGG